rnacentral:lncRNA from 1 species
GGAUGAGGAGGACGAGGGGAAGAACGACACCGACCCGGCGGGGUGCGUUGUGCGCGCGAUCGCUUUAAAUGAAAGGACCCACAAAGACCUCGGCGGUGUAUAAUGUGACAGGCAAACGCAACAUGGUGAUGAUGACUUGGGGGAAGAGGGAGGAAGGAGCCAACUGUGGCUGUGGCUCCCCCUGCGCCUCUCGCUCCCGGAGCGGGCUGCAGCGGCCGACAUAGAACAAGGAAGACAAUUCUCUACUAACCGUGGUUUUGACUGGCACGUACAGCACUUGCUUCCCUCCUCCAGCACCACCACUGACCUCGUCCGAGUUGCCGAGCUGGAAGCCUUUAGAUUUGACCCAGAAUUUGAAUUUGGCAUUAUCCGUGGAGCUCGACUCGGAGCCGUUCAGGAGCUGGACGAUCCGGUCGUAUUUUUUACGGGUCACCGUCUUGGUUUUUCCAGAGUCCCCGAGGCAAAACGGGUCUGGUGGAGGCUCCUCUUAUCCUUCCACUGUACGUGAUCAGUCUCUUUAAUAAUUGUGCAAGGCAGGACUAUCCCACUGGCUCCAGCAGCGUCUUACCCGGAGAGGGUUCGGUUGGAUAAAUAAUUAAAAUCCUAUCCCUCGGCUUAGCGAAAAGAAAAUAUUGACUCGGAUCCUUCUUCUUUUCCAUACAUCAACUGCACCCGGAUUCACCCUGGAUAGUGCAGGUGAAGAAAAGAAAAAAGAAAAAAAAGGGGGGGGAAAGAAGAGGAAAAGCCCACCCUCCUCCACCCCGGCAGCCCUCGGCUGUCUUCUCCGAAGGCUUUCUGGGUUUUCUGUCUCUGUCCUGGCGGGCUGUGCCUCUUCCCAAAGCCGCCGCGCCGCGCAGGAUGGAGGAAGCACUGAAGGGCACACUGGUCUCUUUGCUCCCCCUUUAUUCCAAGGCUGGGCGGCUUUGCAUCAGAUAUCCCCGCUCCGGGCAUGAAGGUACUGGAAAGAAAGUUCUUACCUGCUAUUUUCUAAGCCUAAUGCAUUCGAUCCGCGUUUAAAGUACAUAUUUUUUAAUUAAAAAAAUGGUCUGUGACCAUUCACUUCCUCAUAUUGAGUCCCACUGAAUUUUAAUAUGCCCUUUUAGGAAUUUUCCUCUAUUUAUUCACUUAGCAAUCCCAGCCGAUAGGGAAAAGGAAAAAAAAAAAAAAAAAGGAAAGAAAGAAAAGGCCAGACAUAUACAAGAUAGGCUCAGAUAUUGGACCAAAGGAGAGAUCAGUCCCAGGAGGAUGUUGGUACAGGAAAGGAGGCGGCUCUCGUUGCUCUGCCAGUGUAAUGAUGGUGCUCACACAUGUAGGACUCCUCGGGUGCGGGGUAUCCUUUGGUCUCUGGGCUAAACUGGCUACAAGGCAU